rnacentral:rRNA from 1 species
GAACGUGCCCAGUCGUGGGGGAUAACGUAGUGAAAAUUACGCUAAUACCGCAUACGAUCUAAGGAUGAAAGCGGGGGAUCGCAAGACCUCGCGCGACUGGAGCGGCCGAUAUCAGAUUAGGUAGUUGGUAGGGUAAAGGCCUACCAAGCCAACGAUCUGUAGCUGGUCUGAGAGGACGACCAGCCACACUGGAACUGAGACACGGUCCAGACUCCUACGGGAGGCAGCAGUGGGGAAUUUUGGACAAUGGGCGAAAGCCUGAUCCAGCCAUUCCGCGUGCAGGAUGAAGGCCCUCGGGUUGUAAACUGCUUUCGUACAGAACGAAAAGGUCUCUAUUAAUACUAGGGGCUCAUGACGGUACUGUAAGAAUAAGCACCGGCUAACUACGUGCCAGCAGCCGCGGUAAUACAGAGGGUGCAAGCGUUGUCCGGAUUUAUUGGGCGUAAAGCGUCUGUAGGCUGCUUAACAAGUCUGGAGUGAAAGAAUGGAGCUCAACUCCAUACCCGCUUCGGAAACUGUUAAGCUAGAGACAGCUAGGGGUUCGUGGAAUUUCCAGUGUAGCGGUGAAAUGCGUAGAUAUUGGAAGGAACACCAGAGGCGAAGGCGGCGAACUGGAGCUGUUCUGACGCUGAGAGACGAAAGCCAGGGGAGCGAAAGGGAUUAGAUACCCCUGUAGUCCUGGCCGUAAACGAUGAGUACUAGCCGUCACGGGAAUCGACCCCUGUGGUGGCGCAGCUAACGCGUUAAGUACUCCGCCUGAGUAGUAUGUACGCAAGUAUGAAACUCAAAGGAAUUGACGGGGACCCGCACAAGCGGUGG